AGUAGAAAAGGGGAACUGUAGGGGAGUAUUCUUCCACCACAACUCAGCACUGGCUGUCACCUCCUGCAACAUCUGAUGCAACACGAACACCCUUGUGGGUAAAGCAGGGCCCUGCAGCUGUGGGGUGUGCAGGAGAGGUACCACCGGAAGAGAACCUGCAGGGCUGCAUCCUCCCUGCUGGGCCAGCGGCUGUGGAGGGGCAGCGUGAAGUGUGGGCCCAGGGGCACAAUUCCCCCCUUGCCAUGUGGACUCUUAAGUCAUGGCCUUGAAGUUGUCAGGGAGCAGAGCAGAGAGCAGGGCAAGGAGGCCAGAAUAAGGGAUACCAAUGUGGAUCUCAGCACACUGCAAGGGUGGGAGAGCUGGGAAAGGAAGCAGAUGCAUAGCAAAAGUUAGGUUAGGAGUGAGGGAAACAAUAGGAACAGGGAAUGAUGAUCUGAUGUUUCAGAGACAGAAAAUGCUAGUCACGCCAAAGAUGACGAGUGAGAGGUGGGACUGAGGAGGGGAAAGGACCACAGUGAAUCACAAGCAGCUAGAAGCGAAGCUCUGGCAGCUUUCCUGCUUCCACUGUUCAAUGCUUGUGGUGCACAGGAAGCUGGCCACCACGUCUGGGGCCCUCCUGCCCUUCCCAGACAGCGAACACUUCACCCCAGCCUGCCCUCAGCCUCAAGCCCUCCAGUCACCAUUAGGCUGCCAGUGCUGCCACCAGGGCAGCCUCCCCUUUGUGAUCCUGUUCCUUUUACAGAGCAGCCCUGAAAGGCUGUGCCAGGGUAUUGGCACAUCAUUCUUAACCCCAGCAGCACACACAACACUCAUGGGCUCAGUAUCUCUCACAGGCUGUUGUCUUCUCUUUCACAAAGAUCGGCAUUUGGUCUGAGACUGACCCAGCCCUCCUUCCUAGAUGCCAGAGCUGUUCAUCAGUGCAGGAUGGCAGGACAGUUGUUCCUGUCCACAUUAGCAGUGUCUCUUUCCCCCACCUUUGGUGGUCUCUAUUGGCAAGGGAAAAUUUUCUUACUUUGGUCAUUUAGCCUUGGCCCUUGGAGAAGCAAACCACAGCAUGCACCUCAUGAGGGCAGCGGGAUGGGACAGGUCCCAGCAGCAGUGAGGACGUUGUGCUUUUUGAUGCGCUGGUGCUGCCCACCUGCCACUCACCCUCCUUUGCAGAGCCUCAGGAAAUGCAGUUCACAACCAAGUACCAAAUAAAGGAGAGACAAGCAUUUACAUUUUAUAUAAGCGUUUAUUUACAACUUGUUUAACAACUGUACACUCUUCUAUCACUUGGAAGCAUUAGUGUAUUUGACUGGGAAAAAAUAUUAAAUUUUUUUGAUUCCAAUUAUCGUUAAUGAGGUUUUUUUGUCUAUAUACAGGUAUGUAUAUUAAUAUUGCUACCAUAACAAUCUGGUAGUUACACAAUUUGUAGGUGAAAUGGGAAAUUAAUGUUUUGACACUCUAAGAAUUCAUUCUUUUACAGAAAAUAUAUCACUGGCAACUUCACAAACAGUUAUUACUUUGAUAAUUGAUCAACAUUUAAUUCAGGACUGUCAAACAAGCUGCUAUUAAGAAGGUAUGAGAGUUUUCUAUGCAGCACAAAUGAAGUUAGUAUAUCAGAGACAUGCUGGAGAUCAGCUCUGAGUUGAGAGCUCACAACCACUUCAUGACAGAGAUGCCAGGUUAAUCUAGUUAAAGUAGCCAGCUCCUUGAGUGGCUCCACCUGGCAUCUCUCUGUUGCAUUAGUAAACUCAAAUAACUUUUGUCAAGCUAAACACACUUACAUAUAAAUGUCAUCAAGGCUCAAGAACAACUGAUACUUAGUCUCUAAUCUGCACAGACCACUUGGAGAAAUGAGGUACUGCUCGGCAUCACUUUGGGACAGCUGUGGAGGCAGGUGCACAAAAAAGCAAUCCCCUCCUGCCCAGCACAGUGCCCUGAUUUCAGGGACCCUGCACCCAGCCUGGCUUGGGGUAGGGUGUGGUCCCAGCCGAAGCAGCACUAGCAAAUGAAAAACAUACCAUGCCUUUAACACCCAACUAAAAGAAGUUUUACUAGUAACGCUUGCCCUGACACAUAACAAGGGAUCAAUGGCUAGGACCUGGAAAGACACAAAUCCUUCAGCUCUCUGCUGGACUCAGUCUGAUGAAAUGCUGCUGCCUCUGCUGCAUGAGUACGUGACUCAUUAUCACCAAACCCCAGAUCCUGGCUGCAGGCCACGUAAGACUUCACUGUCCCUGGCCCUGGUGGACCAGGAAAGACAUAUAUCCCCAUCUGAAGCCUUUACGGACAGCUGUCAGCCAGAGCACCUGGUAGCCACAGUACCUGAUACAGUAUCCAGAAGAAAAAACACCACAGUUCUCACUGGGAUCCUAGUUUUACCCUUCAGAUUGCUGCCUGGCCUGCUUGGAGUCCAUUCCUACCUGCCAUCUCUUUGCCAGGCAGCACACACCACCACGCUCUGCUGGGGGACACGUCUGUCCUUUCUCUGCGUCAUUCUGCACGAGGCCAAGGACACUGUGGGAUCAGGAUCCCUGAGGACUGGACACAAGCGGGCGUCUCUGCGCCCGAGGUGUGGCUCUGUCCAAGCCCACCUGACGGGCCAGGGACGAGGCAGGCACUGUGUGUGUGACCAGAAGAGACUGCAGAGACAAGUGGACACAACACUUCUUCAGCGUGGGGGUGCUCCCACGAAACAGGGCUGGAGGUUCUUCUACUGCCCAAACAAGUAAAACUAUUCCUGGAGGCAGCACAGCUCAUAUCAAUAUUUCUGCCAGGAUUAAGAUCCAGGUGAGCAAGAAUGGGGUUUCUCUGUAACUGGAUUUAAAUCAAACUGCUUAAGGUACUCAGCAUUCAGACUUUUCAGUUUUUCCAGCAAAUCCUAAGGCUUGAAAGCCCCUUUCCCUGUUUGUUAUGUACUAACUCCUAUACAAUAAACCUCUUAACUUACAACACUACAGCACUCCCUUGUCUUCUGAAUCUUGCCAGUACUGGAUGUCCAAUACAAAACAAAGAUACAGUAGUACAAAUGUGCAGAUAUUUAGGAAUAUUAAAUAAGCAGCUUUUUAAAUUAAUAUAGGCAGUACAAAGCAUUUUGAGUUACACUGUCUACAUAUGGCAAAUCUUAUAUCUAAACUUCAAAAUACAAAGAAACAGCCAAGCUAGUGCAAUUGGAAAUUAAAUAGCUAAGACUGUGACAAGAGAAAGAAAAAAAAGGAAAAAAACAGUACAGGUGAAAGAUAAACGAUCCAAAUUAUAAACUGGCAAGAACAGUCUGCAUAAUACUGAAAGUGUAGAUGACUUUCAUACUUAUCUCCAUUAAUGGUCUUUCCUCAGAUUGUUUUAACAAUUGUAUACAGAUUGGAAAAAAAAGUUUCUGAAAGAAACCAACAACACAGCUCAAAUGUAGAGAGAAAAAUACAACAGCCACAAACUACUGCGUAUAUACAUAUUAAGGAAGCAGGCAGUGCCUGUGAACAAAAUACCACCCGGUAGUUUGCCUGGCUCGGAGAUUAUCAGAUGAAACUUGCUUGGUUUUCUAAGGAAGAUGGGAUCGCCAAGCAGCAAUUCAUUAGUCAUUUCUCCUGGUAAAACAUCUCCUUUGCUUUACUUUAUGUGUUUAAAGAUUCAAAUUGGAUCCUUUAAGGGUGUGGGUGCUUUGAAAUUUUAACAGUAACCAAAAAGCCUUUUUUAGGAACUCGUUAAGACUAGAUUUUUAUAGUUCAGUAUAUGAAAAUGCUGCAGGAAGUCUGUGUGUUAAUACUGUUAAUCAGAAUUAAAUAAAGUGGACAGGCGGAAGUAAGAUGGAGAGCUGACACUGCUCUGUCACUUUGCAGAACGCCUCCUGUUGAGUUGUGAAUACAGGAUUUCCUCUCUUCUAGCCUCAUAGGAGACUUUUUGUGAAGAGAAAGAGUAAGUGGAAGUGGGAAAUGGGAAAGCCAUUCCCCAGGAUGGCAAGCUUCUCUGCAAGUAGAUCCCCCUUUGAAAUCAGAUGGCCAUGAGUCUUAAGUGUAGAACUGGUUAAGUUUUGGUUAUGCAGUCUGGACAGAAAAGCAAGUCAUGCAGUGAACAGUCCCUGUUAUAAUAAUGCUGCAGGUCAUGCAACCACAUCACUGCAAAUAAAAGAAUAAAGAAGAAAGUUAAAAAGCAGAUAACAUAUUACUGUUGAAAAAAAAACAACC